rnacentral:rRNA from 1 species
CAAUAGCGUAUAUUAAAGUUGUUGCGGUAAAAAAGCUCGUAGUUGGAUUUCUACCGAAGAUAGCCGGUCGGGUCUUCGACCUUGUAUCAGGUUUUGUCUUUGGUAUCCUCAUAGGGAACGUUUCUGCGCUUUAUUGCGUGGUGCGGUAUCUAUGACUUUUACUUUGAGGAAAUUAGAGUGUUCACGGCAGGCAAACGCCUUGAAUAUAUUAGCAUGGAAUAAUAACAUAGGAUCUUCGUCCUAUUUUGUUGGUUUCUAGGGCUAAGAUAAUGAUUAAUAGGGAUAAUUGGGGGCAUCUGUAUCAACGCGUCAGAGGUGGAAUUCUUGGAUUGCGUUGCGACAAACUACUGCGAAAGCAUUUGCCAAGGAUGUUUUCAUUGA